rnacentral:rRNA from 1 species
AUUGAACGCUGGCGGCAGGCUUAACACAUGCAAGUCGAACGAGUGGCGGACGGGUGAGUAAUGCCUGGGAAUCUGGCUGAUGGAGGGGGAUAACGACUGGAAACUGUCGCUAAUACCGCGUACCAUAGGAUGAGCCCAAGUGGGAUUAGGUAGUUGGUGGGGUAAAGGCUCACCAAGCGGACGAUCCCUAGCUGGUCUGAGAGGAUGACCAGCCACACUGGAACUGAGACACGGCCCGGACUCCUACGGGAGGCAGCAGUGGGGAAUAUUGCGCAAUGGGGGCAACCCUGAUGCAGCCAUGCCGCGUGAAUGAAGAAGGCCUUCGGGUUGUAAAGUACUUUCGGUAAUGAGGCGUUACUUACAGAAGAAGCACCGGCUAACUCCGUGCCAGCAGCCGCGGUAAUUC